GGCUAGUCCAAUGGUAGUGGGUUAUCAGAACUUAUUAACAUUAGUGUCACUAAAGUUGGUAUUCAACUUCCCACUACUAAAUUUGGCUAAAAA
rnacentral:Y_RNA from 1 species